ACUGAACGCUGGCGGCAGGCUUAACACAUGCAAGUCGAGCGGGGGAAGGUAGCUUGCUACCGGACCUAGCGGCGGACGGGUGAGUAAUGCUUAGGAAUCUGCCUAUUAGUGGGGGACAACAUCUCGAAAGGGAUGCUAAUACCGCAUACGUCCUACGGGAGAAAGCAGGGGAUCUUCGGACCUUGCGCUAAUAGAUGAGCCUAAGUCAGAUUAGCUAGUUGGGGGGGUAAAGGCCUACCAAGGCGACGAUCUGUAGCGGGUCUGAGAGGAUGAUCCGCCACACUGGGACGGGGCCACGGCCCAGACUCCUACGGGAGGUAGCAGUGGGGAAUAUUGGACAAUGGGGGGAACCCUGAUCCAGCCAUGCCGCGUGUGUGAAGAAGGCCUUAUGGUUGUAAAGCACUUUAAGCGAGGAGGAGGCUACUUUAGUUAAUACCUAGAGAUAGUGGACGUUACUCGCAGAAUAAGCACCGGCUAACUCUGUGCCAGCCGCCGCAGUAA
rnacentral:rRNA from 1 species